CGGGACGGGUGAGUAAUGUCUGGGGAACUGCCUGAUGGAGGGGGGUAACUACUGGAAACGGUAGCUAAUACCGCAUAACGUCGCAAGACCAAAGAGGGGGACCUUCGGGCCUCUUGCCAUCGGAUGUGCCCAGAUGGGAUUAGCUAGUAGGUGGGGUAACGGCUCACCUAGGCGACGAUCCCUAGCUGGUCUGAGAGGAUGACCAGCCACACUGGAACUGAGACACGGUCCAG
rnacentral:rRNA from 1 species